rnacentral:rRNA from 1 species
AUGGCGUCUAGCGAGGGAAAUUAUCACCGUAAAAGUCCUUACUUUGAUGGUACUAAUUUUGCUAGUUGGAAGCAUAAAAUGAAAAUGCAUAUUCUUGGACAUAACCCCGCCGUUUGGGCUAUUGUGUGUGUUGGUUUGCAAGGUGACUUCUUUGAUGGGAAAGAACCAAACCGUGAAGCUACCGCGGAUGAGUUGAAGAUGUUGCAAUACAAUGCUCAAGCUUGUGAUAUUCUCUUCAACGGAUUGUGCCCCGAAGAAUUCAACAAAAUCAGCCGUCUUGAGAAUGCAAAGGAAAUUUGGAACACUUUGAUUGAUAUGCACGAAGGUACCGACUCCGUCAAGGAAUCCAAGUUGGAUGUGCUUCAAAGUCAACUUGACAAGUUCAAAAUGAAGGAUGGUGAAGGUGUCGCUGAAAUGUACUCUAGGCUUGCUCUCAUCACAAAUGAGAUUGCCGGCUUAGGAAGUGAAGAGAUGACCGAUAGAUUCAUCAUCAAGAAGAUUCUAAGAGCCUUGGAUGGAAAAUGUGAUACCGUGUGCACAUUGAUCCAAAUGAUGCUCAAUUACAAAGAUCUCAAGCCAACGGAGGUGAUUGGAAGAAUUGUUGCUCAUGAGAUGUCACUUAAGGAUAAAGAGGAACUUCACAACAAAUCAAGUGGUGCCUACAAAGCCUCAUGUGAAGCCCCUACAUCAUCAAGUGAGAAACAAAACUUCAAUGAAGAAUUGAGCUUAAUGGUGAAGAACUUCAACAAGUUCUACAAGAGUAGAAGCAAAGAUAGAAGCUUCAAGUCAAGGUCCUACAAUGACAAAAGAUCUUCUAGUCGAGAGCGAAACUGCUACAGUUGUGGAAGACCCGGACACUAUUCCAAUGAGUGUACGGCUCCCUACAAGAGAAGAGAAGAUUCUCCAAAAAGAAGAAGCAAAGAAUCACCAUCAAGAGAGAGAAGGAGUAGAGAUGAUCGUUAUGAACGAAGAUACUCACGGAGAAGCAAGGAUUCGGAAAGGAAGGAAAAAUCAUCAAGGAGCUACACAAAACGAAGACAUCAAGCUCAUGUUGGUGAAUGGGUAUCCGACUCCGACUCCGACAGCCACUCCGAGAGAAGUUAUCACUCCGACUCCGAAGAUACUCAAGAUGAAGGUGUUGCCGGUCUAGCACUUGUGUCAACCAACUCAUACGACAUAUUUGACUCACCAAAUGAAGGAAUUGGAAGAUGCUUCAUGGCCAAAGGUCCUAAGGUAACACACCCCGAGUAUGUUGAUUUCAAUAGUGAUGAAGAUGACUUGUUAGGUGAUGAUUUGCUUGUUGACAACUCUAGUGAUGAAUACUAUGAUGAAACGUCAAUUAAUCAUGCUAAUCAAGAUAAAAUGAAUGACAAUAAUAAGGAGAAGAUUGAGGCUCUAACUAAAGAACUAAACACUCUUAAAUUAGCUCAUGAAACUAUCUUCGAAGAUUAUCGAGAACUUUUAAGAGCUCAUGAGAAAUUACGCUUUGAAAAGCUCAAUCUUGAGCAAGAGCAUGAGUUCUUAAAAGCAAUCAAUGAUGAUCUCCGGAAGAAAAGUUCUUCUUACAUUGCCAAGCGUUUACUCUUAUCCACUUACAUGCCUCAAGUCAAGUCUAGUAACAAGAACAAGAAAGAUUCUUCCUCUAGCAGUAACAAUGAUCAUGUUAAAUCCAAUAUUGUUGCUUCUAUAGUUCUCUUGAUUCCACUAAUGAUUCUCUUAGCCAAGUUACACUUGAGCAAGAAAAUAGCUUAUUGA